GGCACCAUGCAGGGUGAGGAGGGGGAGCCAGGACUCUUUCCAGGGCCCCGAGUUGCACCUGCCUACUCCCCCUGUGACACCAGUCCUGCCUUCCUGUCUGGUGCAGGGGUGGGGGGACUUCCCACCUCUGAAGAAGAACAGCCAAGGAGGGAGGGACAGGAAGGACAUGGCACUCCAGGAGGUCACACAAGGAUCACCAGGCACUGGGCAGACACGAAGGAACAAGAUGCCCACCCUCAAGCACUCAGAACCAAGGAACUUGGUAGACACAUCGCUGGGCAAUGUGGUCCUUGUAGACACAGCAGGCUAUUCUCACAAGCCAGGAUGGGUGAAGAUAGCCUCACCCCUGCAUAGGAGCAGGGAGCCUGGCUGGGGCCACUCCAGGAAAGAGUCAUCAUAUUGUAAAGACCGAUCAUAAAAAGAUGCAUCAAUCUGUCAGGACGCCUGGUAUUUGUUUGGCAUGCACAGCGCCCCAAGGCAUCUGGACUCCAGGCUGGCCCUGCACAGUUUCACCUCUCCACCAGGGGUCCCUGCCGUGGCUCUGGACCUAGCUUGGGCUUCACGGAGUCUUUAUAUGAAUCCUUACCAUCUCGGGUGGCAGCUUUGCAUCCUGAAGAAGGACACCGUGUCUGGGGAAUGACCCCAGCCUCAUACCUAGAACACUUCUGCUUGACAACUAAUCAAUAUUGUCAAUCUCCGACAAUACUGCAGAAAUAUCUGCCUUUUGUUUUAUUCUUUUAGAAAAUCACAUAAGCUGUAAAUAAGCAUAUAAA